GACGAACGCUGGCGGCGUGCCUAAUACAUGCAAGUAGAACGCUGAAGGAGGAGCUUGCUCUUCUGGAUGAGUUGCGAACGGGUGAGUAACGCGUAGGUAACCUGCCUGGUAGCGGGGGAUAACUAUUGGAAACGAUAGCUAAUACCGCAUAAAAUUGAUUAUUGCAUGAUAGUCAAUUAAAAGGUGCAAUUGCAUCACUACCAGAUGGACCUGCGUUGUAUUAGCUAGUUGGUGAGGUAACGGCUCACCAAGGCAACGAUACAUUGCCGACCUGAGAGGGGGAUCGGCCACACUGGGACUGAGACACGGCCCAGACUCCUACGGGAGGCAGCAGUAGGGAAUCUUCGGCAAUGGACGGAAGUCUGACCGAGCAACGCCGCGUGAGUGAAGAAGGUUUUCGGAUCGUAAAGCUCUGUUGUAAGAGAAGAACGAGUGUGAGAGUGGAAAGUUCACACUGUGACGGUAUCUUACCAGAAAGGGACGGCUAACUACGUG
rnacentral:rRNA from 1 species